AUUCACAGUGAAGAAUAUGAUGUAGUCCCUUGCUGAGGUGGGCGAAUCAUGAGAUCAGGAGAUCGAGAACAUCCUGGCUAACACGGUGAAACCCCGUCUGUCCUAAAAAAAAAAAAAAAAAAAAAAAAAAAAUGAGCCGGGUGUCGUGGCAGGUGCCUGUAAUCCCAGCUACUCUACUCGGGAGGCUGAGGCAGGAGAAUGGCGUGAACCCGGGAGGCAGAGCUUGCAGUGAGCCGAGAUCACGCCACUGCACUCCAGCGUGGGCAACAGAGCGAGACUUCCUCUCAAAAAAGAACAAAAAAUGCUCUUUUAUCAGCCUGUGGUAAGAUGUGGGGGACUUUGAGUAUAGAUUAAAAUUGCUAGAAGCAGCUCUGAGCUAACUCGGGUGCACUUGCACAGUCAACUUUUUACACACAUUAAUGAGUACACAGUCCUAAAGCCGAGCCCUGGGUCCACCAAAUAUGUGAUCCCCGAAAGUCCAAAAUUUACAUAGAAACCAGACCCAUGUCAUUUUUCUCUGGCCAUCCAAUAUCAUAAUUGCACUAAGGCUUGUUUCCUAGGACUUGAUACAUUUACUAUAUAUUUAGUUAUUAAAUAUAUAUUCACUUGAGGUCUGCUAUGUGCCAGGGAAAAUGCAAGGCCAAGGAAUGUAGCUCUAAAUCAGGUAUCUUUUUUAUUCUCAAUGAGCUUUCAGUUAAGGACAGGCAGAUAAAGUAAUCAAACAGCAUACCCAUGAAAACACUGUGUUAGGGUGCAAGGGCACUUUGAAGGAGCAAUUUGUCCUCUCUUAGCAUUCAGGGGAAGCUUUCAUAGAGAAACUGAAGUGUUGAGGUGUGAAGAGUAAGACUUACCUGGUGAAGAAGAGAUACUGGAUCCUGCCUGAGGGAAAAGCAAUUUCACACCCGGAGGAAGGAUGCCGUGGGCCACACUGGAGCCUGUGGAUGGGCUGUGGAUGGCAAGAGUAAGCUAGAUACUGGAUGGACAAUAACCCAACGCCACACCCCACCCCCUGCCAACAAAAAAGGUGAGAGACAGUCCUUGCUAUCUUGGUAUAGUAGGAGAGAGUUACUUAUUAGAAACUGUAUGUGAAAAAAUAUAUACCUUCCAGCCAAACGAAGGACUAUUAAGGAAAAACUGUAAGAGGAUUUUGCAAGAAGAGGUAAUCUAGUCUGGGGAAUGGGACAGGGGAAGGUCUUGGCCAAAUGCCUCUGACUCUCCCCUGAAGAGUGAGCAGGAGAGAAGCCAGGAGAAAAGAAAAGAAUGAGAGGAGAACCCAGGCAAUGCCCUGUGGCAAGAGGAAGCCUUGUGCUUUUGUAGAGGAACUAGAAGGGUGCCUGGAAUUCAGAAGACGAGGUGGGGACUGGAGUAGUGUAGCCUACAGAGCUGAUACAGCUUAGUGCACAUAACUCGACAGUCCUGCAUACUUUCUGCAAUUAUUCUAAGAGGGAUAGGCUAGCAAUAAAGAGGAGGUUGAAUGGUCAAUUAUGCUGGCAUGUGGAGCACUGGUGAGAGAAGAGUGGAUGUUGAAAGAUAAUGCAGUAAAUAAUUGUAUUUUUCCACCCAAGAGAUCACGGCAGCUUGGACUGAGGCUGUGGUGGUGGAGGUGGAUUUACGAGUUUGAUUUGGUGAUGUGCUGUGGGAUUGUUUGAUUUACACUGGAACGAUCACAACAGCUGUAACACGGGGAAUGAAUGACAGCAAGUUUGCAAGUCUUUAGAAGGCGACUGAGAUGAUCUAGUCUAAGGACAUUGCGACCUCAGACUAGCUUGUUAUUGCCGGAGAUGAGACCAGCAAUUGUUGAUAAGCACUUGUGGAGUAUGAGAGAAGAAAAUCAAGAAUACUUCUCUUGGUCAUGUAAAUUUAUUAACAUAUUUUAAAUCUUCAAAAUGUUGCCUGUAUUUAGACAAUUUUAUUCCUUUGUAUAGGCAAGGGGAACUGGAGUUCAAAUGCACUGAGCCACAUGUCUACCAUAUCAUAAUGAAUUCACAGUGGACACAACUUUCUGUCUCAAAGUGAGUUUGAUGGCCAAGAGGUGCUCUCCCUUCUGCACUCUGGUGAUGCCUCUGGAGGAUACCUGCAUUAUUCCUUUUCUUCAGAUAACGUUCAGAGAAAUUAAUGACCUGCCGGAUGUUACACAGACAAUAUGUAGUGGAAAUGGUUCUACAACCCAGGACUUAAAUUUCUAAAAUCCAGCUUCCUUUUCAUCCCGCAACUUUAAUAAAAAUGUGACCUGUUAUUGCCACUUUGCAGAAUCACAUUAUUACAUAAAAAGGACAGGGACACCAAUCAUAUAUGAAAAUAAUGAGAAUGAUCUCCACCUUUUAAUUGUAAAAGGAGACAGUAACUGUAUUUUUAGGAGAAUUAUAGUAACCUUGGAAGAGGUCAAGUGAUAAGAUACAGUUCUUGGCCACAGUGCUAUAGAGACUGCAAAAAUAUUUAUUGAAUGAAAGAAUGAACUAUGCACCUUACAUGUUAGUGCAUUUUGG
rnacentral:lncRNA from 10 species